AUGUGCCUGAGACAGGUUUGACCCGCCAACUGAAAAGACAUCCCUAAGAGAAGACAAAGCAAAGGUAUGAAAGGAACACACGUCCCUGACUUACUAGGAGGAACAGAGCUGCCUGCUGUCUGGAACCGCUUCCUCCCAGACUAAGUGAGAAAUAAACUUCUGUUUUCUAUAU
rnacentral:antisense_RNA from 1 species